GGGCGCGGAGGAUCCGCUGGAAACAAGUUCCGGAUGUCGCUGGGUCUGCCGGUGGCAGCCACUGUCAACUGCGCUGACAACACUGGUGCCAAGAACCUGUACAUCAUCUCCGUCAAGGGAAUCAAGGGGCGCCUGAACAGGCUUCCUUCCGCCUGUGUUGGUGACAUGGUUAUGGCCACUGUCAAGAAGGGAAAGCCUGACCUGAGGAAGAAGGUCAUGCCGGCUGUCAUCGUCAGGCAGCGCAAGCCAUGGCGCCGAAAGGACGGUGUCUUCAUGUACUUUGAAGACAAUGCUGGAGUCAUUGUGAACCCAAAGGGAGAGAUGAAAGGUUCUGCCAUCACUGGACCGAUCGGGAAGGAGUGUGCCGACCUGUGGCCCAGGAUUGCCAGCGCAGCGAACGCCAUCGUCUGA
rnacentral:rRNA from 1 species